CUGACAAGCCGUGGUGUGAGCCCUGCUGCUCUGACUUGCACUCAUGGGAGCGAGCUGAAGAUCUCCAGAGGAGCUGAGAGGAGGUCAGUCUGUUUACCAAGUACCUAUCUAUACUCCCUUCACUGUCGACUAUUUGAUUCUUAGAACAGCAUUAUGAGAUGGAGACCAUUAUAUUCGGUUACACACUUUGUUGUUUUUUAAUGUCUGAGCCAUACAUACUCAUGGGAUUUUUAAAAAAUCAAACUUUGGAAGUGUAUAAAUUAUAUAUAUAUAAGGCUCCCUUCCCCCAUCCCCAUUCUUAUGUUCCAUGUUAACAACAAGUAAGUUAUACAUCCUACAGGGAUUCUCUCUCUCUCUCUCUCUCUCUCUCUCUCUCUCUCUCUCUCUCUCUCCUUCUGGGAAUUGAACCCAGGAGCAUUCUACAUCUGAACUACAUCCUCAACCUUUUUUUUUUUAAUUCUGAAACAGGGUUGCCCAGGCUGGCCUUGAACUUGCCAUCUUCCUGCCUCCAGAGUAGCUGGGUGCCACCGCGUCUGGCCCUGUGUAAGUUCCUUACAUACUUAAUGUCUGUACAGAAGCAGAUAUUUACAUGGUUCCAUUUAGAACAUGUUAACCUGGCUAAAUGGGCUGAGCCUAUUUUCCCCUGAUUCUUUCACCUAAGACAGACAUCUUCCUUUGCAGGCAGUCAGCACCCAUGCAGCACGUUCUUCCAAGCAGCUGUUCAGUGUGCCCCUGCACAUCUGUCCUAACAUCGCUUUAGCCAGUUCCCUAACCGACAGCCAACUCAGUUAUUUCCAGAUGUUGCAAAUGCAGCAGUGCCGUGACAAAUCAGCUCCGUGACUUGAGCGUGCGCCACUCAUCCCUCUCUGCCGUGGUGCUCUCACUGUGCCUCUUGAUGGUUGUGAGCAGGGAAUGAGAAAUAAGGCUGAGCACCCGACAGCGCCUGCUCUGACGUGCACCGUGAACGCUCUGCGUGGAGUGUCAUCUGUGCCUUUGCUCCUAUUACAAGAAAUGAUCCUUUCCUGUAAGUAAAAUUCACACAUAAAGGAGUAUAGGUAUUUUUGGUAAACAGUCAAACUGACUUUCUCACACUUCCUCUGGAGAUCUUCGGCUCACUCACACGAGUACAAGUCUGAGCCACAGUGCACACCACCACAGUUUGUCAUACACACUAGAAAGCAACAACAGUGCUGUGCUAUUUCCCACCUGCCAAAUGCCAGAGAUUAAAUGGCUGGAGAAUGAUCAGCAUCUGUGAGCAACUGGGAAAAGGUAUUCCCAUACUAUUGGUGCCUGGUUAAGGCGUUCCACGGCUGAUCUGGUCAGACUGAUCUUGACUUUUCUGUGCCUUAUUAUUUUUAAAGACCAUUGUGUAAAGUUGGGUUUAGCCUUCAAUGAUCCAGCUUCUCAGGGGGUCACGGGUGGUGUCCCUCUUGGGAGAAGUUCCUCCCAGGUGCCAUGUCCUGUUCCUGGACCCAGAUGGUUACCAGUAAGACAUUCUCACAUUGCUAAGGCUUCUUUGAGGUGUGGGCUCGAGGUUCUCAUCAUACACACAGCAGCAUGAAGGGGUGGAGGAUGCACACCUUGCCUCCAUCUAGAGCCUCCAAGGCCAAGGGUUGUGGGAGUGGUCACUGACUCCCCCUCCACAGCUGUGACUGAGUGAGUCUGAGCAAGUUACCUGACCUUAGUCAACCCUUUUCUCCACUCUGUAGAAUGAGGACCCUAUCUAUCUUCAGGAAUGGGAUUUGGCCAUUGACUCUGGUAGGGCCAGGACUCUCUGUUAUUUCCUCACAAUCAGGCAGCUGAGGGGUUCACACUGGUCACCAGCAGGGUCAAGUUCCCUCAUGAUCUCCUCAGCCAGGGUCACUUUUGAUCCAUCAAUGCUUAUGUCCAAACCAGGUGAGCAAUUUGAGUUCCACUCUUGUUGAUCCGGUGGAGUCAUUGGGACCAUGCACCACCUGGCGCUGGGACAGGUAACCCACCUGCCAUCGCCAUGGUACCUAACCUAUCUGUGUGGAACCCAGACAAGCAGUAGUAGUGCAGGCUCAUGCCCAGCUUCCCUCUCCACCUUCCUGGAUGGAAUGGUGCUUGUUGGCACUGACUUAAGGCCAGGAGUCAGAGGUGCAGCACAUAACACAGGGUAAGGAAAGAGGGUGCCGGGAACUAGACAGAAAAGGUCUGCUAACCAAACGUCAGGAAGGUCCAGACAGGGCACAGCAACUGAAUGUGCCAGUGAGCCUUGGAUUCAAGCCACGUCAGCCUUCACUUGGGCAGAGCAAGCCAGAGGCGGACGGUGCGAAGCUAACGGCACCUAAACUUCUGGGCUUGAAGGGGUCCUUGCCAGAGCCUGGGAGGGGUCCAGUGCCAUGGCGACAUUGGCCUGCCCUCCACGGCAGCAGGUCUUGACCCUCUCCCCCACCCGCCUUCCCAACUCUUCUUCCUCAUGCCCGUGGCCUAAGAGGUGAGGGCAGCUGGGGUCUGGUGGAAGGAAGCCACCUCCGUGGUGAGCUCAGCUGGGGCUUAAUGGAUGUAUUGCCUGCUGGUGGCCACUUUUGAACAGAAACGGUAUUUCUAACCAUCUCGGGGAAGGAGCUGCUUCCAGAAAUAAUCCUGUCACCCAUUCGGGGACUCAGCUAGUGCCCUGACCAGGUGAUCCCUUGUGACCUGGAGGUUUUCCUCAGCUCCCAGCACCACCAGCAUGCAGGCAGAAGAGUGAACAUGAGACUGAAGUAGCUAGUCCAUGGAGAAUUCUUCUAACGUCUACAUCUGUGAAUUAUAAGCUGAGCAUCGACAGGUCACGCAUGAGAAGCUAGAGUGGCCCUCAUCUCCUAGAAGGAAUGUGCCCAAACAGCUGUGGUCUUCCUCCAUGUCCCUCUUUUUCUCUUUAUUUAGUAUUUAAGAUUCGAUUUCUCCCUUGUUUGUUUGUUUAUUUAUACCAGUAUGAACUCAUGAAGGC
rnacentral:lncRNA from 1 species